rnacentral:lncRNA from 1 species
AUCCACUGUAGUUGAGAGGCCUACUGUAACUAUCAAUAUGGUCCACUGUAGCCACGGAUGGCCUACUAUAGUCAUAUGACCCACUGUAGCCAUGGAUGGCCUAUUGUAGUCAAUUAGGAUCAGUCCUCUAAAAAUCUUACAUUGCCAGCAGAGGUCGGUGAGGACUACAGGAGAAGAGUCAACUCAUCCCAAAGAAAUAAGA